rnacentral:rRNA from 1 species
AGAUUGAACGCUGGCGGCAUGCUUUACACAUGCAAGUCGAACGCGAAAGGGGGCAACCCUGAGUAGAGUGGCGAACGGGUGAGUAAUACAUCGGAACGUAUCCUGUUGUGGGGGAUAACCCCGAGAAAUCGGGGGCUAAUACCGCGUACGUCCUACGGGAGAAAGCGGGGGCUCGCAAGGACCUUGCGCUAUAGGAGCGGCCGAUGUCGGAUUAGCUAGUUGGCGGGUAAAGCCCACAAGGCUACGAUCCGUAGCUGGUCUGAGAGGAUGAUCAGCCACACUGGGACUGAGACACGGCCCAGACUCCUACGGGAGCAGCAGUGGGGAAUUUGGACAAUGGGCGAAAGCCUGAUCCAGCCAUGCGCGUGAGUGAAGAAGGCCUUCGGUGUAAGUCUCGUUUCGGCCGGACGAAAGUGCCGUUACGUAAUA